rnacentral:rRNA from 1 species
UUAAGCGACUAAGCGUACACGGUGGAUGCCUAGGCAAUCAGAGGCGAUGAAGGACGUGCUAAUCUGCGAUAAGCGUCGGUAAGGUGAUAUGAACCGUUACAACCGACGAUUUCCGAAUGGGGAAACCCAGUGCAAUUCGUUGCACUAUCGUUUGAUGAAUACAUAGUCAAACGAAGCGAACCGGGGGAACUGAAACAUCUCAGUACCCCGAGGAAAAGAAAUCAACCGAGAUUCCCCUAGUAGCGGCGAGCGAACGGGGAGCAGCCCAGAGUCUUAAUCAGCAUUAGCAUCAGGAGAACGGUCUGGAAAGUCCGGCAGUAAAGGGUGAUAGCCCCGUAUCCGAAGGUGUUAGUGUUGUGAACUCGACGAGUAGGGCGGGACACGUGUUAUCCUGUCUGAAUAUGGGGGGACCAUCCUCCAAGGCUAAAUACUCCUGAUUGACCGAUAGUGAACCAGUACCGUGAGGGAAAGGCGAAAAGAACCCCGGCGAGGGGAGUGAAAUAGAACCUGAAACCGUGUACGUACAAGCAGUGGGAGCCUUGAUUUAUCAGGGUGACUGCGUACCUUUUGUAUAAUGGGUCAGCGACUUAUAUUCUGUAGCAAGGUUAACCGAAUAGGGGAGCCGUAGGGAAACCGAGUCUUAACUGGGCGAAUAAGUUGCAGGGUAUAGACCCGAAACCCGGUGAUCUAGCCAUGGGCAGGUUGAAGGUUGGGUAACACUAACUGGAGGACCGAACCGACUAAUGUUGAAAAAUUAGCGGAUGACUUGUGGCUGGGGGUGAAAGGCCAAUCAAACCGGGAGAUAGCUGGUUCUCCCCGAAAGCUAUUUAGGUAGCGCCUCGUGAACUCAUCUUCGGGGGUAGAGCACUGUUUCGACUAGGGGGUCAUCCCGACUUACCAACUCGAUGCAAACUACGAAUACCGAAGAAUGUUAUCACGGGAGACACACGGCGGGUGCUAACGUUCGUCGUGAAGAGGGAAACAACCCAGACCGCCAGCUAAGGUCCCAAAGUCAUAGUUAAGUGGGAAACGAAGUGGGAAGGCUCAGACAGCCAGGAUGUUGGCUUAGAAGCAGCCAUCAUUUAAAGAAAGCGUAAUAGCUCACUGGUCGAGUCGGCCUGCGCGGAAGAUGUAACGGGGCUAAACUAUGCACCGAAGCUGCGGCAGCGAUAUUUAGAUAUUGUUGGGUAGGGGAGCGUUCUGUAAGCCUGUGAAGGUGUGCUGUGAGGCAUGCUGGAGGUAUCAGAAGUGCGAAUGCUGACAUAAGUAACGAUAAUGCGGGUGAAAAACCCGCACGCCGGAAGACCAAGGGUUCCUGUCCAACGUUAAUCGGGGCAGGGUGAGUCGACCCCUAAGGCGAGGCAGAAAUGCGUAGUCGAUGGGAAACGGGUUAAUAUUCCCGUACUGGUGAUAAUUGCGAUGGGGGGACGGAGAAGGCUAGGCUAUCCGGGCGACGGUUGUCCCGGUUUAAGGAUGUAGGCAGGUGAAUUAGGCAAAUCCGGUUCACUAUAUGCUGAGGUCCGAUGACGAGUCACUACGGUGAUGAAGUAGCUCAUGCCCCGCUUCCAGGAAAAGCCUCUAAGCUCUAGAUUAUCAUUAAUCGUACCCCAAACCGACACAGGUGGUCAGGUAGAGAAUACUCAGGCGCUUGAGAGAACUCGGGUGAAGGAACUAGGCAAAAUGGUGCCGUAACUUCGGGAGAAGGCACGCUGGCAUUAGGUGAAGUGAUUUACUCAUGGAGCUGAAGCCAGUCGCAGAUACCAGCUGGCUGCAACUGUUUAUUAAAAACACAGCACUGUGCAAACACGAAAGUGGACGUAUACGGUGUGACGCCUGCCCGGUGCUGGAAGGUUAAUUGAUGGGGUUAUCCGUAAGGAGAAGCUCUUGAUCGAAGCCCCAGUAAACGGCGGCCGUAACUAUAACGGUCCUAAGGUAGCGAAAUUCCUUGUCGGGUAAGUUCCGACCUGCACGAAUGGCGUAAUGAUGGCCAGGCUGUCUCCACCCGAGACUCAGUGAAAUUGAACUCGCUGUGAAGAUGCAGUGUACCCGCGGCAAGACGGAAAGACCCCGUGAACCUUUACUAUAGCUUGACACUGAACAUUGAGCCUUGAUGUGUAGGAUAGGUGGGAGGCUUCGAAGCGUGGACGCCAGUCUGCGUGGAGCCAACCUUGAAAUACCACCCUUUAAUGUUUGAUGUUCUAACGUUGCCCCAUUAUCUGGGGUGCGGACAGUGUCUGGUGGGUAGUUUGACUGGGGCGGUCUCCUCCCAAAGAGUAACGGAGGAGCACGAAGGUUGGCUAAGCAUGGUCGGACAUCAUGCGGUUAGUGCAAAGGCAUAAGCCAGCUUGACUGCGAGAGUGACGGCUCGAGCAGGUACGAAAGUAGGUCUUAGUGAUCCGGUGGUUCUGAAUGGAAGGGCCAUCGCUCAACGGAUAAAAGGUACUCCGGGGAUAACAGGCUGAUACCGCCCAAGAGUUCAUAUCGACGGCGGUGUUUGGCACCUCGAUGUCGGCUCAUCACAUCCUGGGGCUGAAGUAGGUCCCAAGGGUACGGCUGUUCGCCGUUUAAAGUGGUACGCGAGCUGGGUUUAGAACGUCGUGAGACAGUUCGGUCCCUAUCUGCCGUGGGCGUUGGAAGAUUGAAAGGGGCUGCUCCUAGUACGAGAGGACCGGAGUGGACGCACCACUGGUGUUCGGGUUGUCAUGCCAAUGGCAUUGCCCGGUAGCUAAGUGCGGAAGAGAUAACCGCUGAAAGCAUCUAAGCGGGAAACUUGCCUUGAGAUGAGUCUUCCCUGACUCUUUAAGGGUCCUAAAGGAACGUUUAAGACUAAGACGUUGAUAGGUUGGGUGUGUAAGCGUAGCGAUACGUUGAGCUAACCAAUACUAAUGAACCGUGAGGCUUAACC